rfam:Candidatus Harrisonbacteria bacterium RIFCSPHIGHO2_02_FTLL_42_16 rifcsphigho2_02_scaffold_998, whole genome shotgun sequence.
GCCGAGGUGGCGGAACUGGCAGACGCACUGGCUUCAGGAGUCAGCGGUCGCAAGACCAUGUGGGUUCGAAUCCCACCCCCGGCA